UUUGUAAAUUCUAUUGAAUCUUACCUUUUCUUAUUAUUCCACCUAGAUAAAUCUAAAUGGACAAAUUGAUUAGGCCGAAUAAUUCCAUAUGUUAUAGAAAUAUCAUUAUUUGGUUGAUCUAAGUUCAUGCAAUUUAUUAAUAAAAAUGAAUAAUUUUUUUAUUCAUUUUUAGUAUUUUGGUCAAUCGUUGAAUAAAAUCAACUGAAAGGGAAAUCAUUUCGCCCUUUAUUUUAUUUAAUUACACGUCGUAAACCUAUACAACAAGAAUUAUUGACAAAAAAUUUUAUAUUCAAAUUGUUUUAACAAUGAUUUAAUAAUGAGUUAAGUUAAUAUAAUAAUGAGAUGGACUAAGCAAUCCAAAGUGAAUAUUCAUUCAGACAAAGUAUGAUAUUAAGUGAAUGAAAAAGGAAUUUUAGGAAAAAGAUCUAAAAAAAAGAUCUUUUUUCCUUACUCUUUAAUAUCAUCGUAAUUUUUUUGCUAUCACUCUAGAUCGUAUAUAACAUAGUUGUAUAUUUAGAUUCCCCUAUUCUAUUCCCUAAGUUAAGUAAUUCCACCCACCAUAUACAUUUUUUCAUUGCUGUGGGCUAAGCUAAAAAAGACUAUUUCAAUGAUGGCCCUCCAUGGAUUCACCUAUAUAAGCCGCGGCUAAAGUUGCAAAAAUAAGAGCUUGAAUACCACUUGUAAAUAAUCCAAGGAGCAUGACAGGUAUAGGAACUACUAAGGGUACUAAAGAAACAAGAACAACAACUACUAAUUCAUCAGCUAAGAUAUUCCCGAAAAGUCGAAAACUAAGUGAUAAGGGUUUUGUGAAAUCUUCUAAGAUGUUAAUGGGUAAAAGGAUUGGGGUUGGUUGAAUAUAUUUUCCGAAAUAACCUAAUCCCUUUUUUGUAAGACCCGCAUAGAAAUAUGACACUGAUGUGAGUAAAGCCAAAGCAACAGUAGUAUUUAUAUCAUUCGUGGGUGCUGCUAACUCCCCAUUAGGUAAUUGUAUGAUUUUCCAAGGUAAAAGAGCUCCUGACCAAUUAGAAACAAAAAUAAAUAAAAACAUAGUGCCAAUAAAAGUAACCCAGGGCCCAUAUUAUUCUCCAAUUUGAGUUUUACUUAAAUCACGAAUGAAUUCAAGAACAUAUUCGAAGAAAUUUUGACCCCCGGUCAGGAUGGUUUGUGGGUUCCGAACAGCUAUAGUGGCUGAACCUAAUAAGAUAGCAAUUACAACCCAAGAAGUACUAAGUACUUGGCCAUGUACUUGGAAACCCCCUAUUUUCCAAUAGAAAUGUUGGCCUACUUCCACACCGGAUAUAUCGUAUAACCCCAUUAGAGUAUUGAUAGAACAUUCAUAUUGCCUUGCCCUCUGAAAAAAUUGAACUUUAAACAAAAUUUUUUGAUUCAACCAUCUCAUGUCUACUUGAAUUGGAUAUUUGUACUACCAACUAAGAUUUAUAAUACUAAUAAAUCACAUAAUAUCCCUAGUUAUUUUUAUCUCUUUUUUGAAAUUCAGAAAUAGUAAGCGAUUCCAUAAGGGAUUUCUGAAGUAAGUUAUUUAUCUUAUUAUGUUAUUAUUAAUAAGGAUUUCUUAUAUAGCUAGAACGACCCUCACAAAUUGUGAAUACUAAUUUAUUAAAAAUUAAUCAGAUUAAGGAUAUGGCAUCAUCAUUCGCUGGAAUUGAAAUAUCUGCUAGAUCGGGGUCACAAUUUGUAAUGGUUAAACAAAUUGUUGGAAUUCCUAAAGUAAUAUACUCUCGUAGGGCCGUAUAUUCUUCGUGCUAAUCAACGAUGAUUAAAAUAUUGGGUACCCCUGUCAUAUAUUUAAUCCCGCCCAGAUAUGUUUGCAAGCGAGAUAAUUGUCUUUUAAACGUAGCUGCAUCUCUUUUCAGGAGACGGUUGAGUCUCCCUGUUUUUGUUCCAUUCUCAAGUCCUUGAACUUAUGAAGUCUUUUUUCUGUAGUGCACCAAUUAGUUAACAUACCACCAAGCCUUUUUUUAUUAACAUAAUGACACCGGGCCCUUAUUGUAGCCCACUCUACUGAAUCAACUGCUUUAUUUUUGGUACUAACAAUUAAGAAUUAUUUUCCCCUACUUGCUGCGUCAAAAACUAAAUCACAAGCUUCUGAUAAAAAACGAGCAGUUCUAGUAAGAUUUUUAAUAUGAAUACCCUUACGCUUUGCAGAGAUAUAAGGCGCCAUUUUAGGAUUCCAUUUCCUAGUACCAUGACCAAAAUGAAAUCCUUCCUCCAUCAUCUCUUCCAAAUUUAUGUUCCAAUAUCUUCUUGUCAUUUCUCCCCACAACCUCCCCCCCUUUUUAUUCUUAAAAAAAAGAUAUGAGGAACCCUGAACUGAAAUAAAUAAUUAUUCCGACAGAAUCUUCUCUUCUACCGUAGAUUGGACGUAGAUAUACGACCCAAACCAUUAUUCUUUUCUAUUCAUUAUUCUUUUUAUUACCAAAUAAAAUAACCAUCCCAAAUGCAUCUAGCGAAAGAUCCGUUGUUAGGAAUCAUUAAAUCCUAUAAAUAAUUGUUCGGGUAUGUCGUGAAACUUUUUUGAAAGACAAGAAUUAAAUAAUUUUCUGUGGUGGAACAAAAUAUCUCUCAUCUCCCCCUCGAAUAAAUUCUUUUUUUUUGUUUCCAAAGGAAUGUUAUGUUGUUUUGAAGCGUGCACUAAUCCCUUGAAUCCGGUACCAACGGGUAUUACCCCCCCCCCCCCCAAAACAAUGUUCUCUUUCAAGCCUUUCAACCAAUCGAUAUGACCCUGGAGAGCCGCUUUUGCUAAAACUCGAGCAGUUUCUUGAAAAUUUGCUUCAGAUAUGAAACUUUGAGUACUGAGAGAUGCUCCUGUUAUUCCCAAUAAGACGACUCGGUAAUAGAUCGCCUCUUCCAAAGAGCGACCCAUUCAUUCUUCUCACAACAAUCCAAUAAGUUCUCAGGGUGAAAAAACAUUAGACAAUCUAUCUUCUGAAACCAAUACUUUUGAUGUUAUUUGACGUACAAUAAUUUCUAUAUGCCUAUUAUGAAUCUGCACCCCUUGGGAGCGAUAAACCUAUUGGAUUUUAUUAACCAAAGAGAUUCGGCUUUGCGCUAUAGUUAGCUCAGCACCAAUCAAGAAUCCCCAAGGAAUUCCAAGAAUUCUUGGUAUACAUUUGUUCCAACCCUCAACCCUCUUUUCUAGAUUCAUGGAUAUUGAAUCAAUCGAACGCACUUCUAACACCUGUUCUACUUUUGGAAGACCCUGUGUUAUAUCACCAGAUCUCGAUUUUUCAUAUAUAAAUGUAACUAAUGUAUCUCCUUCGUAAAGGGUUUCGCCAUAAUGGCCAUGAACGGUUGCUCCGGGGGUGGCCAAAUAAGGCUUAGCUGAUCGUAUCACUAUCGAGUCAACUUGAACAAGUAUAACUUGACCCGAUUUGAGGGGCGGUCCAUUUUUGGCUAUACAUACAUUUUCACAAAUAAACUGUCCAAGACUAAUUAUUUUAGAUGUCUCUUCACAAUAAUUGUGAUGGAGAAACGACCAAUUCAAAUUGAAUGGAUUUAAAAUAAUGUUACGACAUGGAUCGGGAUUAAAAAUUUUUCCAUUUUCAUCCAUUAAAUAAUAUUUAAAUUUAAUCACUUGAAAGGUCUGGUUUAAAUUUUCAAGUUGCAAAUAGUUAGUUACUAAGAUCUGAUUAUGAGUUAUUAAAUGGUAAGAUGAAUAAAAAUUCUCAAUUGGAAGGCAUGUUCCUAAAGGGCCCAACGAAUUCCUAAUUGGAAUUAGGGGAUCUUUUUUAAUUGAUUCUUUUAUCACACUGUGAUAUUUUACAUCCUUGAAUGGCCCCAUUCGAGAACAAUUGGCUGCUGACAAAAUUAUCAACGACUGACAUUCCUUAUUUCUAUUCAACAACGUAUGAAUAGUUCCUUGAGGUUGGUUAAGAGAUUGUUGAAUUUUUGCCUUGGAAUAGGAAUAAAUGGAAGAAAAGGGGUUGAUAUUGGUACAAUCUGAUCCAUUAUCAGAGAGCAAUUCUGACCCCGACGGAUCAUUCCUUUUUCCGAUAUACGAAAUAGGGGAUUUCACUAAGUUAAUUCUUAGGAAAUGUCGAAUCAAACCAUUUGUGCUUAUUUCAACAAAAGAAGCACAGGCUUCUUCGCAAGAAGAACUUUUUUUGUCUUGGUUCCAAUUCAAUACUAAACAAGUUCGAACUAAUUGAAUACUUGUGUCAGAAAUUCCUCGAAUCGGUUUGCCAUUUCUAUAAAGGAUAUAAUUGAUAAUUAGAAGUUGCACAUUAUCCCUUUCCUACAAUGGAUCCGGUGGAAAAAGGGUUUCUAAAUUUAUACCGUCCGUUAUUUCAUAUGUGACGAAAGGUCGAACUAAAACAAAAAACCUUUUCUUACUAGGUGUAAUCCGUUGGACAUAGACCCAAUUUUUAAAUUUUUUGGAUUCCUUGGAAUUUCUUUUUCCUGUUCCUGAUGGUAUCAAAAUGCCGGUAUGUCUGGAUAUCUUAUCUGUCUCUCCGGAAAAAUGGAUAUCUCCAGAAAAGAUUUUAAGUUUAAUUCGUUUGUUUUUUUUCUCCACCCGGACCAACCCACCGACUCGGCUUCUUAGAUUUAAGGUGAUUUGUGUAUCUACCCCAAUGAUACUGUUGUUCCGUACCAUUAAAGAAGAAGAUUCAGGCAAAAUAUGCACCUCUUCAGGAAUGAAAAAAAUCAAUCUACUUUCAUUUGGUAUUUUGACCGAAAUUCCUUGACUCCUCGAUACUCAAUCAAAUCCUCUUUUUUGAUGACUGAAUGCGUUUCUAUAGUCCCAUAUUUAAUAAUGCCCGAACUCUUUAUUCUAUAUCGAGGAUCAUCGAAAUAAGCAAGAAUAUUAUUUUGAUGAAAAAUACCAUUUACAGGGAUUUUAAUCGAGAUACCUAAACAGGGCAUUAGUUGAUUCUCGAGUUCUUGAAUCGAAUGUAGUGGAAUGAUGAAUUUAUUUCUUCGUCUUUUUGACAAUAAAUUAGAAUUCUCGUGGAGAAUAGGUGAAUAUACGAGAUUAUACUGACCAGUACAUAUGAUUCGAUUGAGAUCUGAAUAAUCAGGAAUCCUAUCUUCUUUUUUAACAUAAAAAUCCGAACUAAAUAAUUUCUGUCUUGCCUGAUCAUUAGUUACUGAGAGGUUAGAAGUAUAUCUUUGCUUGCCAGAAAGAGAAUGCGCAUUCAUUUGAUCCUGAUCCAUGUGGAUCGAAAGGUAGACUAGACUGGACCUGCACGGCCCUCCUAAUAAUAUCCAUAAAUGACUUGUUUUUGGUAAUAGAUGAACAUUACCGUAUGUAAAUUCGGGUGCAUGAUAGACAUCGGUACUCCAGUGCAUUUCUCCGUCUGAAUCAGAAUAAAUAUGUUUUCGAACCUUCUCUUUAAAAUUCAAAGUGGAUAUUCCUGCGCGAAUCUCAGCAAUUACUUGUUCUGAUUCUACAUAUUGAUCGUUUUGAACUAAAAGCAAACUUUUGGGUGGAAUAUUCACAUUAUGUAGAAUAUCUUCACUCUCAAUAGUUACAUACAAGUCUAUAGAACAUAGAAAGGCGGGAUGCCCAUGACGUGUACGUGUCGGAUGAACCAAAUCCUCAUUGAAUUUUAUUUUUCCAUUAGAUGGGGCUCGCACAUGUUCUGCAGUACCCCCCGUGAAUACUCCUCCGGUAUGAAAAGUUCUUAAUGUUAAUUGAGUACCCGGUUCUCCAAUCGAUUGACCUGCAAUAAUACCUACAGCUUCCCCCAACUCAACCAGGUCGCCAUGACGUGUACGUGUUGGAUGAACCAAAUCCUCAUUGAAUUUUAUUUUUCCAUUAGAUGGGGCUCGCACAUGUUCUGCAGUACCACCCGUGAAUACUCCUCCGGUGUGAAAAGUUCUUAAUGUUAAUUGAGUACCCGGUUCCCCAAUCGAUUGACCUGUAAUAAUACCUACAGCUUCCCCCAACUCAACCAGGGCGCCAUGAGUAGGACUCCGGCCAUAACAUAAUCGACAAAUCCAAGAUGUACUCCUACAAGUAAAGGGAGUUCAAAUAGAGAUUGGUUAUGCCCGAAGGAUAUGAAUCGAUUUACAAGUCCAAUGCCAAUGUCUUGAUUUCUAGUGGCAAUACAUCGUGAACCCAUGUAUAUAUCAUCUGCUAAUACACGACCAAUUAAUGUUUGACUAAAAAUCCUUUUCGGCAUCAUCCCAUUUCGAGGACUCACAGAAAUACCCCGGGCGGUGCCACAGUCUGUUCGAUGGACAACAAUGUGUUGAGCUACUUCAACAAGUCUGCGAGUGAGAUAUCCAGCGUCUGAUAUUCAUACAACAGUAUCCACAACUCCUUUAUGGGCUCCGUAGCAAGAAAUGAUGUAUUCUGUUAAAGAGAGUCCUUCGCGCAAAUUGCUUUGAAUAGGUAAAUCAAUCAUUUGUCCUUGAGGAUCCAACAUUAAUCCUCUCAUACCUACUAAUUGAUGUACCUGAGAUGCAUUUCCUCUAGCUCCCGAGAAAGACAUUAUAUGAACUGGAUUAAAAGGGUCAGUCAUCCUAAAAUUCGUAUUCAUUUCUUGUCGCAAAUAUUCACUUGUAGCAUACCAUAUUUCAAUGGAUUGAAGUAAUUUUUCUACCACGAGUACAUUCCCAUAAUGAUGGUGUUUUCCCAAAAUCAAACUUUGUUGUUCAGCAUCUUGAACGAGCCAUCCCUUAGAAGGUAUUGUUAAAAGGUCAUCAAUUCCUAAUGAAAUGGAUGUAGCAAUAGCUUGUUGGAACCCAGAGUUUUUACUUGAUCCAGGAUAUGUGAUGUAUAUGCCAUUCCAAAGUGCUCUAUUAAUCUACUAAUAAGUCAUUUCAUGGCAGUUUUGUCUAUCGCUUUAUUGCGAAAAACCAUAUUAGCCCGUUCUGCCAUAAGUACCUCCAUAUUCCGCUGAGUAGAUAUCGACAAUGGGUUUGAGUCGGUGAUUGUAAAACUUCUUUUUAUCGAUCUUGAUUCGCAUAUAAAUUCUGGAACUAUGUACCUAGCUGAACCGGAGAGCCCUGAAGUCCCACGGUAUCAUAGAAUUACGUUAGGUACCAUAUGAAUGGGCUCAAGAAAACCCCUGUCUAGCUUCUUCAAUUUCUCGAUAAAGAGAAAUAUGACCAACAGUGGUUCGAAUGUAUAUAAAAAGGAUUUUUUUUUUAGACUUCUUACUAUUAGAUAGCGUCCAUAAAUCUCAUAAAAAGUACCUAAAGAUUCAUAGUGAACUUCAAUGGGAGUUUCUCUUGAAGAAAUAACGUGUUGAUCUAGUCGCCACCGGAGCCACAAAGGACUAUCUAAAUUGAUUCAUUUCUAUCGAUAAGCCCCAAUUGCAUCAUAGGAAUUCGAAAAAAAAAGUUCUUUCGUAUACUUAUAAUAACUAUUGUCACUUCUUUAUUGAUUUUGAUAGUUUCUGUGAUUACAUGGAUUAUAUCUAUUUACACAAAUACCUUGAUGAUUUCCGCUCGUUAAUAUACAUAGAGUCCAAUAAGCAUAUCUUGCAUUGGUACGAAAAUGGGACCCCCAAUAGCCGGAGACAAAAGAUU
rnacentral:lncRNA from 1 species